rnacentral:lncRNA from 1 species
GCCCCAUCCGCUGAGGAAUUCCACACGUGUCCUGUGACUUUCACCUUCUGGCCUCAAUUUCUCCAGCCGUGAAAAAAUGAUAUUCAACCCAUCAACUCCGCAGGGUGAGAUGAAACAAAUAUGAUGAAAACCUCUUCAGAAGCACAAGCUGCCAGAAAUACGCAUCAUAUUUUUGUUCAGUUAAGGGCUCUUAUUACUUGGAAAGGGAUCUACAGGUAGGGAUCGAAAAGCCAUGAGCCAAUGAACUCCGAACCAAGAUUCCAUAAUGCUUCUCUGCUAGUCCUUAAUCCAUUUUAGAUACACGCCCUAACCCAGAGACACCCCCCCCCCCGCCAGGCCUUUCAUGAGCUAGGAUUUUCAUUUCUUGUCUGGAUACUGCUUUUCUGGAAAGUGUCCCAGUCUCUUUCAUGAAUGAGUCCAUCUGGGGGCGGGGUGAAGAGUAUAGGCAAACGUAUCUUCCCUUAAUGAAAAAAAAAAAAAAGCCAUAUAGAGAAUGAAUCAAUGCUACCCAAAGAAGAUGGUUUGCUCCAUAUGGUUGCCAUGGGAACCUGGAUUGGGUACCAGGCAGCUUGAGUUCUGUGAUGGUUACAUAGCCCUUGACUGUGAUUUGGGAGCUGGAUUCUUGUCUCUGCCCCACCUCUGCUGAGCUCCCAAAAAGCUUGUGAUCUCCUGCAGCAAGACAGAUGAGGAGAGAGCUGAUUGCAGAGCCCAGGGACUGGCUCUCAUCGAGGACUGCCCCUGCAAGGAUCUUCGAGGAGAGGAAUCUGCACCUUCCUGCCACCCGGCCGCUGGAGAUUCCCGUGCCAAGCCCUCAAAGCAGCUCGACUUCCCAUGCAAUAAAGCAGCAGUGAGAAAGGCUCAGAGUAAUUAAGUGGCUGACGCACAGAAGAAGCCGUUACAAAGAAUUGACUAAAUUGCUCAUUCAUUAGCAGCUCGGCAUGGAAGGAGAAUUACAAAUAGGCGGCGGAGCCCGCAGUAAUUCAAUCUAACCUUGUACUUACAGAAAACAAUGAGAUAAUGAAC